UGGUAGCUCAGUCAGUAAGAACGUGAGGCUCCUAAUCUCAGGGCCAUGGGUUCGAAUCCUAUGUUGGGAAAAG